rnacentral:rRNA from 1 species
UGUCCAGACUCCUACGGGAGGCAGCAGUGAGGAAUAUUGGUCAAUGGCCAGGAGGCUGAACCAGCCAAGUCGCGUGAGGGAAGACGGCCCUACGGGUUGUAAACCUCUUUUGUCAGGAAGCAAGGUGCAGGUCGGGACCUGCUGUGAGAGUACCUGAAGAAAAAGCAUCGGCUAACUCCGUGCCAGCAGCCGCGGUAAUACGGAGGAUGCGAGCGUUAUCCGGAUUUAUUGGGUUUAAAGGGUGCGUAGGCGGGAUGCCAAGUCAGCGGUAAAAAUGCGGUGCUCAACGCCGUCGAGCCGUUGAAACUGGCGUUCUUGAGUGGGCGAGAAGUAUGCGGAAUGCGUGGUGUAGCGGUGAAAUGCAUAGAUAUCACGCAGAACUCCGAUUGCGAAGGCAGCAUACCGGCGCCCUACUGACGCUGAGGCACGAAAGCGUGGGUAUCGAACAGGAUUAGAUACCCUCGUA